GCAACAGAUCCAGAGGCCAGCCCAAGUGGCCACCUAGUUCUCUUGGACUCUAGGCUCUACUGGUGGGGUGCUGCUGAUCCAAUGGGCAUGGAUUUAAUUGCAAUACAGAAAUAGUCCUGGGAGAUAUCCCAUAACUGUAGCUCCAUGCUGGAAUGUUUGUCUGUAGCCCCAUGGUGGGGUGUCUGUCUCCAGCUCCACCACUGGAUGUCUGAGACUCUAGCCCUAUCACUGGGUGUCUGUCUGUAGCCCAUCACGUAGUGUCUGUAGCUGUAGCCCCAUUAUGGGGUAUCUGAUUUGGGCUUGGCCCCCACAGCUAUGGCACAGUAAGCAGAUUCAUCAAAAGCUGCUCCAUUCUUCUGGAAGCUUCAGAGAAAGGGAACACAGAAAUCUGGUAUGCUGGUAAAAAGGGAUCGAGGCCAUCAAGCUACAGAUGGUCUUACAAAUGGAACCCCAAAUGAGCUCAAUUCACAACUUCUACGAAGGACCCCUGGAUCAACCUACUGGCCCUUUGACUGGCCUAAAAAGUUCCCCUCUGGAGGACACUACAACUGCAGGGCCCCUUCUUUGCCCCUAUCCAGCAGGAAGUAGCUAGAUCAGUCAUCGCCCAAUUCCCAACAGCAGUUGGUAUGUCCUGUUUAGAGGGAGGAUUGAGAAGUGAAGCCAGCUGAACUUCCUGGGUUGAGUGGAGACUUGGAGAACUCUUCUGUCUUGCAAGAGGAUUGUAAAAAGCCUUGUCCCGCCCCUGCAUGCGCUGCCUCUCCCAGGCCCCGCCUUCCACCCAGUGUCUUGGACCCUCAGCUGGGCAGCACCACCAGAGCAACCAUACAUCCUGCAUGUUCCAGGCCUCACUCGAGAGGCAAAAAAGCUCCAUGGCGGCGGCGGCCAAGCCCAAGAACCUCUCCCUGGUGGUGCAUGGACCAGGUGACUUGCGCCUGAUAAGCCUGGAAGGAGGGUGGGAAGCCUACCAACCCUGACUCACUCUCCUCUGAGCCCAGCCACAGUCCUGGCUUCCCACUUACAGCCCAGCACCGGCCCCGCAACUUAAGCGCCCUGGCUGCCCAGAUCCCAGUUCCCCUCAGGAUGUGGGGGUGGCGGGUAGUGGCUGUUGCGAAGAGCAGGGAUCUAGUUGUGUACCUCCGAGAACCUAGCCCCAUGGCUGGCACGUGGCCGGUGCCCAGGAUGGUUGCAAACUGUUUGAAUGAAGCUUUCUCUCUCCUUUGCCAGCUGCAGAUUCAUAGUCCAGCCUCUCGUCAUUGACCUUUUCAAAGAAAAUGCUAAGGCUGUCUGAAUUAUCCGGGCAGACAGUGCAAAGCAGAAAGGGGGGCCAGAGGACACUUAAAAACAGCAGAACUUAUAUUUAACUCCCCUUGCUUGGAACUGAUAAACCUCCCUUGCAGGAUUAUUAUGAUCACAAGAGUACUCAGCACUUAGUACGUGCUCAGGAAGUGCCAGCUCCUUCUCCUUUCCUUCCAGUAUAGACCACCAUCUCCAGAACUCCUGGUGUUCCCCUUGCCUGUGCCAGACUUCUGAACCUUGGUAGUCCCCUUGUCUGUAAGGCUCCUUCUCUCCCUAAGUCCCUAUCUGGUUUACUUUCCAGCAGUUUUUCUUUCUAAUCCCGUGCCUCUGUCCCUUUAGGAGCAUUCUGUAUGUGUGUCCUCUGCUUUAGACCCUGCCUUUUGCUUCCUGUUUUGUGGCACCAAAGUUUAGGAAGUGGCGGAGUCAGCACCCUGGUCAUGCCAAGGCUCCCUUGACAAAGUGCUUCUCAGAUGGGCCUGGGAUGGCAGUGGGUAUGUGGGAUGAGUGCCAGCCAUCUCUGCUGCUCCCCUGUACCUCCUCUCCCUCAAAGUACAUGCAUCAGUAUGUAAAUUGCAGUAAUUCAGAAGCUUAUCCAGAUUGGCAGUUCUUGACUAUUUAAGAAUCAGUAGUGUCCCUUCGACAGAAUGCAAAGAGACUGAGUUUGGCAACAAUUUCAGAUUGUUCAAGGACUCCCUUUAAGCCACUCUAAGCCCCUCUAUAGAACCCUUGUCCCAGCUGACUCUCCAUCUCCUCAGUUGAAGAAAGUGCCAUACCCAAGGUGAUAGGUUUUGUUAGUUAACAGAGCCACGACAAGGACUCAGAUGUUCAGACUCCCCAUUCUAGUGCUCAUUCCACUCUUUGGAGCCUCCACCCAAGGUCCUGAAUUAAAGUGAGGCUGUUAGUGUUUACUGUUGCAAAUGCCAGAUGGUAUUAUGAGUAAGGGAAAGUGGUCCAGCUCUACCCAGCUUGCAGAGUGAUUUCCAACUCAGUACUUCAUUCCACAAACAUUCACUCAUGAAAGGGUGCCUGCCAUGUGCCAGGCACUGGGCUGAGGGCCCAGAGAGGAGGACACAGCCCCUGCUCCCAAGUUUACUGAGGGAGGCAGACAGAUAAAGUCAACAAUUAUGACAGAGCCCGAGGGCUUUGAUGGAGGCCUCAGAGAGAAAAGACCCCACAGAGAAAAGACCCCAAGAGAAAAGAACCUUGGCCCUCUAUCUGCUCAGAGCCUGCUUAAAAGUCAUGCGCCUAAGAUGCAGAAACACAGUUACGUUCUCCUUCAUCUUACCUCAAACUCAUGGUCUUCCACUGCUCAGGCAGACUACCUCUACUAUGGUUCCGUAGACAAAGCUUUGAAGAUUAGAGCAGCAGCGAACUAACCUUGAUCUCAUCAGCUUUGCAUUAGAACCCACUCUCUGACUGGAUUAGGGGCUAGGUUGGGGUGGCUGUAACCUAAAAGAUCUAGAAAAUAUGAUGGGCUAUUUCACCUGUGGUUGUGUGCUGGUACACUAACUGGGUAAAAGAGUUCAGAGGAGGAUUUAGGAAAUGACACCUAGGCUCAGUUUGAGAAUGGGAAGUGGUAGGGUCAUUUACUGGUCAGAGUAGAUUAAAAUGAGAUCAGGUUUGAAAAGUUGAGUUUAAGAUGUCUCUGGAGGCCAGCUGUGGUAGUUCAUGCCUGUAAUCCCAGCACUUUUAGAGGCCAAGGUACGCAGAUCACUU
rnacentral:lncRNA from 1 species